rnacentral:rRNA from 1 species
CCGCGAAUUCGCCCUUCGGGGUGCACCAGGCGCGAAUACUUUGCAAUGUUGGAAACCGUGAUAGGGUUACCCCGAGUGCCACCCGAUAAGGGGUGCUUUUCGGUUGUCUAAAAACGUGUCGAAAUAAGGGGGGGGCAAGACUGGUGUCCGCCGCCGCGGUAAUACCAGCCCCUCCAGUGGUCAGGACUAUUAUUUGGCCUAAAGCGUCCGUAGCCGGGCAUAUUCUUCCUCCGUUAAAUCCAGCCGCUCAACAGUUGGGCUGCCGAAGAUACUAUGUGUCUCUAAGGCGGGAGAGGUGAGCGAUAUUCUCUGGGUAGGGGUAAAAUCCUUUGAUCCUUUGAAGACCACCACUGGAGAAGGUGGCUUCGCCAAACACGCUCUACAGUGAGGGAUGAAAUCUGGGGGAGCAAACCGGAUUAUUAUCCCGGGUGGUCCCCCCUGUAAACAAUGACGAUCUCUUGAUG